rnacentral:rRNA from 1 species
GCGAACGCUGGCGGCAGGCCUAACACAUGCAAGUCGAACGGACCCUUCGGGGUUAGUGGCGGACGGGUGAGUAACACGUGGGAACGUGCCUUUAGGUUCGGAAUAGCUCCUGGAAACGGGUGGUAAUGCCGAAUGUGCCCUUCGGGGGAAAGAUUUAUCGCCUUUAGAGCGGCCCGCGUCUGAUUAGCUAGUUGGUGAGGUAAAGGCUCACCAAGGCUACGAUCAGUAGCUGGUCUGAGAGGAUGACCAGCCACAUUGGGACUGAGACACGGCCCAAACUCCUACGGGAGGCAGCAGUGGGGAAUCUUGCGCAAUGGGCGAAAGCCUGACGCAGCCAUGCCGCGUGAAUGAUGAAGGUCUUAGGAUUGUAAAAUUCUUUCAGUAGGGACGAUAAUGACGGUACCUACAGAAGAAGCCCCGGCUAACUUCGU